GGAGAGGAACGGGUGGUCGAAGGAGAAGAGGGGCAGUCUGCUAGAGGAUAAGAAUGCGGGAGUGUUUACGCGUGGACACUGUGUCUGAUAUUUUAAAUUAGCUCGAACGUCCUUACGGAAGCAUUACCGAAAAGUUAUAGUUGGCCUUUAGUAUUUUGUAUUGUCUUAGGACUUGGAAGUGUAGUUAUCUUUCCUUAGCUACACAGACAGUAAAAGUAAAGGGCUAAAGGUCGGACCAUUUUCAAACCACGGGGGAAGGCUGUUUACAUACAUAUAAUCUACUUUGUCAAUUUUUAAUAUGAGACUCACUCGUCAAAGCAUUUAGACUUUAUCGAGGGAAUAAGGUCUUUCUUUAGGAGAUAAAUAUGAGACAAAUGGUAGUGAGAACAAGAAGGGCACCCAGCGUACCAAUGUGACUUGCUGGGAGUACAACAUAGUAUGCAGUAUCGACCUCUAAUGUCCAGUGUACAGAAUAGGAGAAUACUUUUGUUCAGAGUCACUUUUCAAAAAAAAUAAAAAAAGAAGAAGGAUAUGG
rnacentral:lncRNA from 1 species